rnacentral:rRNA from 1 species
UACGUAGGGCGCAAGCGUUAUCCGGAAUUAUUGGGCGUAAAGAGCUCGUAGGCGGUUUGUCGCGUCUGCCGUGAAAGUCCGGGGCUCAACUCCGGAUCUGCGGUGGGUACGGGCAGACUAGAGUGAUGUAGGGGAGACUGGAAUUCCUGGUGUAGCGGUGAAAUGCGCAGAUAUCAGGAGGAACACCGGUGGCGAAGGCGGUGGUCUGGGCCAUUACUGACGCUGAGGAGCGAAAGCCAGGGGAGCGAACGGG